rnacentral:rRNA from 1 species
UACGGGGGGGGUAAGCGUUGUUCGGAAUUACUGGGCGUAAAGGGCUCGUAGGCGGCCAACUAAGUCAGACGUGAAAUCCCCAGGCUCAACCUGGGAACUGCGUCUGAUACUGGAUGGCUAGAAUCCGGGAGAGGGAUGCAGAAUUCCAGGUGUAGCGGUGAAAUGCGUAGAUAUCUGGAGGAAUACCGGUGGCGAAGGCGGCAUCCUGGACCGGCAUUGACGCUGAGGAGCGAAAGCCAGGGGAGCAAACGGG